GCUGCUUCCAUUGAGCGAGGUUUCUUCGGAUUCCUUCACAUUCACAGAGUUACUACGACUGAUUGUGAGAGAGAAGGAAGCUGCUUCCAUUGAGCGAGGUUUCUUCAGAUUCCUUCACAUUCACAGAGUGUAAGUUACAGAGAGAAGUCAGGUCAAGAUGUCUAAAGGUUCUAAGAAGAGAAGAGCAGAGAGAAAUGAAAGGUUUUAAAUGGGGAAACCAACAAUAACGGACUCAAGAAAGAUCCAAGCAUAGCUCCGUAUGUUAUUGUAGUCCAUGGACCUCCCAAGGUUGGGAAAUCUUUGUUGAUUGAUUCUCUAAUCAACUAUUAUACUUCAAAAAAUCAUACCAACGUAGGAAAGACCAUUAUAACAGGAUCAGGUAACCGGAGACGGAUACAGUUUGUGGAGUGUCCCAAUAAUAUGAAUGGCAUGAUUGAUGCUGCAAAAUAUGCAGACGCAGUGAUGUUGCUCGUUGAUGCAAAAUAUGGGUUUGAAAUGGAAACAUUCGAGUUCCUUCACUUCUUACAAGUUCAGGGCAUACCAAAGGUUAUGGGGGUGCUUACAAAUCUGGAUAAACUUAAAGAUGAAGAUGCACGCUCAACAACCAAAAAGUGCCUCAUCCGAAAAUUUAGGGAACACAUAUAUAAAGGAGCAAAUGCAUUCUGCUUGUCUAGUUUCCAUUAUGAAAGGUGAGUAUAUGUGGACCAAUAUAUGUUCUUGCACCUAUCAUAUGGUAUGGUUCAUGUAUUUAUGAAUCC